rnacentral:rRNA from 1 species
AUUGAACGCUGGCGGCAUGCCUUACACAUGCAAGUCGAACGGCAGCACGGGGGCAACCCUGGUGGCGAGUGGCGAACGGGUGAGUAAUGCAUCGGAACGUGCCCAGUAGUGGGGGAUAACUAGUCGAAAGAUUAGCUAAUACCGCAUACGACCUACGGGUGAAAGCGGGGAUUCGCAAGAACCUCGCGCUAUCGGAGCGGCCGAUGUCUGAUUAGCUAGUUGGCGGGGAAAAGCCCACCAAGGCUUCGAUCAGUAGCUGGUCUGAGAGGACGACCAGCCACACUGGGACUGAGACACGGCCCAGACUCCUACGGGAGGCAGCAGUGGGGUAAGUUUUGGACAAUGGGCGCAAGCCUGAUCCAGCCAUGCCGCGUGCGGGAAGAAGGCC